rnacentral:pre_miRNA from 11 species
AUAUGUCGGUUGUUGUUGGCCGAUUCCCGCAAUGGCACUGGAAGAAUUCACGGGUCGCAAUUAAAUUUGACAGAUUUGAAUUUCUGGAAAAUGACACACUCGUGGAUCUUCAGUGCUGUACCGGGCGUCGGUUAUUCCAUCUUCUACUUAUC